ACGAACGCUGGCCGCGUGCUUAACACCUGCAAGUCGAACGAAGAGCGAUGGAAGCUUGCUUCUAUCAAUCUUAGUGGCGAACGGGUGAGUAACGCGUAAUCAACCUGCCCUUCAGAGGGGGACAACAGUUGGAAACGACUGCUAAUACCGCAUACGAUCUAAUCUCGGCAUCGAGGAUAGAUGAAAGGUGGCCUCUACAUGUAAGCUAUCACUGAAGGAGGGGUUUGCGUCUGAUUAGCUAGUUGGAGGGGUAACGGCCCACCAAGGCGAUGAUCAGUAGCCGGUCUGAGAGGAUGAACGGCCACAUUGGGACUGAGACACGGCCCAGACUCCUACGGGAGGCAGCAGUGGGGAAUCUUCCGCAAUGGACGAAAGUCUGACGGAGCAACGCCGCGUGAGUGAUGACGGCCUUCGGGUUGUAAAGCUCUGUUAAUCGGGACGAAAGGCCUUCUUGCGAAUAGUGAGAAGGAUUGACGGUACCGGAACAGAAAGCCACGGCUAACUACGUG
rnacentral:rRNA from 1 species